GACGAACGCUGGCGGCGCGCUUAACACAUGCAAGUCGAGCGAGAACCAUGGCUUCGGCCAUGGGGACAGCGGCGAACGGGUGAGUAACACGUGGGUAAUCUGCCCUCGACACUGGGAUAG
rnacentral:rRNA from 1 species